AUUGAACGCUGGCGGCAUGCUUUACACAUGCAAGUCGAACGGUAGCAGGUCUUCGGAUGCUGACGAGUGGCGAACGGGUGAGUAAUGCAUCGGAACGUGCCCAGUCGUGGGGGAUAACGCAGCGAAAGCUGCGCUAAUACCGCAUACGAUCUAUGGCUGAAAGCGGGGGACCGUAAGGCCUCGCGCGAUUGGAGCGGCCGAUGUCAGAUUAGGUAGUUGGUGGGGUAAAGGCCCACCAAGCCAACGAUCUGUAGCUGGUCUGAGAGGACGACCAGCCACACUGGGACUGAGAAACGGCCCAGACUCCUACGGGAGGCAGAAGUGGGGAAUUUUGGACAAUGGGCGCAAGCCUGAUCCAGCAAUGCCGCGUGCAGGAAGAAGGCCUUCGGGUUGUAAACUGCUUUUGUACGGAACGAAACGGCUCUCUCUAAUACAGAGGGCUAAUGACGGUACCGUAAGAAUAAGCACCGGCUAACUACGUGCCAGCAGCCGCCGUAACAC
rnacentral:rRNA from 1 species